UAAGGAAUAUUGGUCAAUGGGCGAAAGCCUGAACCAGCCAUCCCGCGUGCAGGAUGACUGCCCUAUGGGUUGUAAACUGCUUUAGACUGAGAAGAAACCCCUCAAUGCGUUGGGGGCUGACGGUAUCAGUAGAAUAAGCACCGGCUAACUCCGUGCCAGCAGCCGCGGUAAUACGGAGGGUGCAAGCGUUAUCCGGAAUCACUGGGUUUAAAGGGUGCGUAGGCGGCUUGAUAAGUCAGAGGUGAAAGCCCGCAGCUUAACUGCGGAACGGCCUUUGAUACUGUUGAGCUUGAAACAGGACGAGGUUGGCGGAAUGUGGCAUGUAGCGGUGAAAUGCAUAGAUAUGCCAUAGAACACCGAUUGCGAAGGCAGCUGGCUAGACCUGAUUUGACGCUGAGGCACGAAAGCGUGGGGAGCGAACAGG
rnacentral:rRNA from 1 species